rnacentral:rRNA from 1 species
UACGGGGGGGGCAAGCGUUGUUCGGAAUUACUGGGCGUAAAGGGUUCGUAGGUGGCUCGCUAAGUCAGACGUGAAAUCCCUCAGCUUAACUGGGGAACUGCGUCUGAGACUGGCGAGCUCGAGUGCAGGAGAGGAACGCGGAAUUCCAGGUGUAGCGGUGAAAUGCGUAGAUAUCAAGAGGAACACCUGAGGUGAAGACGGGUUGCUGGGCUGACACUGACGCUGAGGCGCGAAAGCUAGGGGAGCAAACGGG